CUCGAUGAGGUAGAGGAUGUGA
rnacentral:miRNA from 1 species